UUAGAAUUUUUGUGUCUUUCUUAAGAUUUCAACUCUAUUUUUUAUCUUUUUUAAGAUUCAAGCACACCAGUCAGAUCUUAGCCUCAAGGACAAAGUAUCUAACAGAUCAAUCUUUCAAAUAGAAACAUUUGUGAGACACAGAGCUUAGAAGCAACCUUAAAUCAAGAGCCCUAAAAAGGUUUGUGACGUGAAACUGAAGUUUACGAAGUUGAAAUUAAGGACACAUUUCUAUUCACUUUCUUUGAAAUCAUUGAGAGGAAAAGGAAGAGUGACCUAUUUGAUGAGGUGUAAAUUUGACAGUAACAAGUGAGAAACACAUGGCAUGCGACAAUGAAAGCAAUUCGAAGGGAUCACUUGUUUGUUACCUUACGAUUGGUCCAAUCUACGACUAAUCUUAAACACAAGUACAAACCGAGUUUUCGGUCUCAUUGUCCAAUUCAUCCAUUUAACCAAUGCAUCUCCAUUAUGUACUCCCGAUUCCACCUUUCACCCUCCAAGCAAAAAACUUUGCCUUCUAUCAAUUUCUCCCCUCCCUUCAUUAGGGUUGCUCCUAAGUUCAAUAAAGUUUCAAACUUUUUCACUUCAAUUAAAUCUCAUUUUAAUUUAUAA